rfam:Alicycliphilus denitrificans K601, complete genome.
GGGGCUGUCCCGGUUUCGACGUGGGUUCGGAAUUGGUGCGGUGCAUGUCGAGCUUGAGUGACGCUCGUAAAUCUCCAUUCACCAAAGUAACUGCAAACGACGAACGUUUCGCACUCGCCGCUUAAAUCCGGUGAGCCUUGCAACAGCAUGUUGGUGGGCUGGGCAAGGGGGUAGCAAUACCUCCCGGCUGCAAGGGAAUUUUUACCAGCUGGCCUCCUGCCGGGUACCUUGGCAUGGGGCGAGAUCCAAGGGUACUGGCUGCCUGUAUAGCGUGCGCCUGCGCGAUACCGGUGGCGAGACUCAAAACAGAGCGCUAAGCAUGUAGAUCUGUCCAAGGAAGGCUUGCGGACGCGGGUUCAAUUCCCGCCAGCUCCACCA